rnacentral:rRNA from 1 species
GGGAGGCAGCAGUGGGGAAUCUUGCACAAUGGGGGAAACCCUGAUGCAGCGACGCCGCGUGAGCGAUGAAGCCCUUCGGGGUGUAAAGCUCUUUCGGCAGGAACGAUAAUGACGGUACCUGCAGAAGAAGCUGCGGCUAACUACGUGCCAGCAGCCGCGGUAAUACGUAGGCAGCGAGCGUUGUUCGGAGUUACUGGGCGUAAAGAGUAUGUAGGCGGUUCAGCAAGUUUGGUGCGAAAUCUCCCGGCUUAACUGGGAGGGUGCGCCGAAAACUGCCGGGCUAGAGUGCGGGAGAGGAAAGCGGAAUUCCUGGUGUAGCGGUGAAAUGCGUAGAUAUCAGGAGGAACACCUGCGGUGUAGACGGCUUUCUGGACCGUAACUGACGCUGAGAUACGAAAGCGUGGGUAGCAAACAGGAUUAGAUACCCGUGUAGUCCU